UUUUAUCAAGUGUAAAAUAAUUUUCAAAGACGUCCCCCUGAGAAACUAAUCCCAUCCGGAUAGGGCUAUAGACUAGGAGGACUGUCUAAACACAGUCAUUAAUUAUUGGAACUCUUAUCUUCAAAAAAGCUAUUUUUUUGGGCAGUAAUUCAGGUUUCUCAUUACUUGAGCAUUUUAUCCAGCUAGUUCCCUAUCUUGUGUACAUCUCUUGUUACAAUGUGUAUAAUUUUCUAGCAUGGAUUUACUGUGUUACAUUUGCACAUCUGAGUAUGGAGAAACACAAUUUCAUUCAGAUCUGCACUUCUUGCUGUGUAGUCUGACUUUUAAGUUUGUUGGUUUGCUUGAAAAACAGCAUUUUUUUGCAAGUUUCAUGCCUUGCCUCACUCACUACAGCAAGAAGAGUGAUACAAGGUCACUGCAGGUUAAAUCGUGAAGGCAGAAGGGAAACUUGAGUAAAGAGAUAAUCGUCAGUGCAGAAAAAAGGAAGCAGAAAACAGAAAAAGCAAAAGAGGAAACGACAACCGCAGAGCCAGCUGAGGACUCCAGCCACGCCUUUACGCUGCCAUUCAGGCUGGGGCACAGUUGUUGUUGUUGCUGCAGGAGUGACAUCAUCCUGCUGCUGGCUACAGGUACGCUGACCUCAGGCCGAGUGGUCAUGGAAGAGGCCUGGCAUUGUUCUCCGCCGAGGGAAGUGAAAAUAAUGCCGCUUCCCGAGAAAAUCGAGAGCAGGGGAUGUCCCAGCAAUGCGUCUGGAACCGGGCCACAGUGACGCGGGCUGACGCUGACGCAGUGCGGUGAGGGAGCAAGUCUUACCCAACGAUAUGAUCUUCUUACCUGUGAUGAUGACGAGAGCCGCCAGGCAGCAGAAGGAUGUGACAUCCAGACUCAUGCGAUGGAGGCUGUUGGAGAAAUCCAUGAUGGAGUCAAUCCAGUCUCCAAAUCCCCGUACACACUGCAGCCGGUGCAGCACCAGCCCGUUACAGAAGAUCAGCUUCUGCUCGUCUGGAUGAGAUCUGAAAUAAAGUUCAGAAUGGAAUAUUAAAUACAGGUCUGAAUACAGUACUGAUCAGAUUAAAGUUUCAUUUAUUUAUUUAUUUACUCAUUUACUUACUUAAAUAAUUAUGUUUAUUAUAUUUAUUUUGGAUUUAAGCUUUUUUUAUACAGCAGUCUGGUUUACCUGUAGGCUAAUCUGAGGAUGAAGAGCUCCACGAAGGCGGACUCUAGCAGGAGCUCCUGAUCCUCCCUGCAGAAGAAGCUGAACCCGGGAAUCGCCUCUGCCCAUUUCUGCAGAACCUCCAUGGUCCCGGUCAGAAGCUCAUAGAACAGUUUGAUGUCGUUGGCGUCUUCUUUUUCAGACAGGCCGCUCACAUCCUCCUGGUACUGGAUAACAAAGAGACAGAAUAAAAUUCACUGUUAAAAAGAGAAUCUGUAGAUUCAAUAUACAGCUCUGGAAAAAAAAAAGAGACCACUUAAAAAUGAUGAGUUUUCUUGAUUUUACCAAAUUGAAAACCUCUGGAAUAUAAUCACGCCAUCAAACCAAACUGAACUGCUUGACUUUUUGCACGAGUAGUGGCAUAAAUUUAUCCAAAAGCAGUGUGUAAGACUGGUGGAGGAGAACAUGCCAAGAUGCAUGAAAACUGUGAUUUGUGAGGGUUACUCCACUGAUUAUUGAUAUCUAAACUCUCAAAACUUUAUGAACUUUAUAAACUUUAUGAAUAUGAA